AAAUAACAAAAGAUUCAUUCUCAUUGCCUUAUUAUUCCCUGUUGCAGACCAGGUUCUAAAUGUCAUGUUCAUCCACAUGAGAGGGGUAUAGUUGAUUUCCACCCUAUAUAUUUCCAUUCAAAUGAGGCCAGUGGAGCUAUGAAACCAAUUACUUAUGGUUCCAUAUAAUUAACGACAGUUGACCAAUCAAGAUUUAGAAGGACUCGAGUUACUAAGGAUGGUAUUAUUCUUUUUGCAGCCAUCAUUGUUGUGGCUGCUCUUAUUAUGACUUUUAUUUGUGAAUGUGUUUUGAUUAUUAGGAAAGAUCUCCUUUUGAAAA